GAUGAACGCUGGCGGCGUGCCUAAUACAUGCAAGUCGAGCGAACGGACGAGAAGCUUGCUUCUCUGAUGUUAGCGGCGGACGGGUGAGUAACACGUGGAUAACCUACCUAUAAGACUGGGAUAACUUCGGGAAACCGUAGCUAAUACCGGAUAAUAUUUUGAACCGCAUGGUUCAAAAGUGAAAGACGGUCUUGCUGUCACUUAUAGAUGGAUCCGCGCUGCAUUAGCUAGUUGGUAAGGUAACGGCUUACCAAGGCAACGAUGCAUAGCCGACCUGAGAGGGUGAUCGGCCACACUGGAACUGAGACACGGUCCAGACUCCUACGGGAGGCAGCAUUAGGGAAUCUUCCGCAAUGGGCGAAAGCCUGACGGAGCAACGCCGCGUGAGUGAUGAAGGUCUUCGGAUCGUAAAACUCUGUUAUUAGGGAAGAACAUAUGUGUAAGUAACUGUGCACAUCUUGACGGUACCUAAUCAGAAAGCCACGGCUAACUACGUG
rnacentral:rRNA from 1 species